UACGAAGGAUGCAAGCGUUAUCCGGAUUCAUUGGGCUUAAAGGGAGCGUAGGUGGCCUUAUAAGUCAGUGGUGAAAUCUCUCGGCUUAACCGAGAAAUUGCCAUUGAUACUGUAGGGCUUGAGUAUAGUUGCCGUUGGCGGAAUAUGACAUGUAGUGGUGAAAUACAUAGAGAUGUCAUAGAACACCGAUUGCGAAGGCAGCUGACGAAACUAUAACUGACACUGAGGCUCGAAAGUGCGGGGAUCAAACAGG
rnacentral:rRNA from 1 species